UCAGUCGACUCCUACGGGGAGGCAGCAGUGGGGGAAUAUUGCACAAUGGGCGCAAGCCUGAUGCAGCCAUGCCGCGUGUGUGAAGAAGGCCUUCGGGUUGUAAAGCACUUUCAGUCGUGAGGAAGGUGGUAGUGUUAAUAGCACUAUCAUUUGACGUUAGCGACAGAAGAAGCACCGGCUAACUCCGUGCCAGCAGCCGCGGUAAUACGGAGGGUGCGAGCGUUAAUCGGAAUUACUGGGCGUAAAGCGCAUGCAGGUGGUUUGUUAAGUCAGAUGUGAAAGACCCGGGGCUCAACCUCGGAAUAGCAUUUGAAACUGGCAGACUAGAGUACUGUAGAGGGGGGUAGGAAUUUCAGGUGUAGCGGUGAAAUGCGUAGAGAUCUGAAGGAAUACCGGUGGCGAAGGCGGCCCCCUGGACAGAUACUGACACUCAGAUGCGAAAGCGUGGGGAGCAAACAGGAUUAGAUACCCUGGUAG
rnacentral:rRNA from 1 species